rnacentral:rRNA from 1 species
UACGAAGGGGGCUAGCGUUGUUCGGAAUCACUGGGCGUAAAGGGUGCGUAGGCGGUCUUUUAAGUCAGGGGUGAAAUCCUGGAGCUCAACUCCAGAACUGCCUUUGAUACUGAAGAUCUUGAGUUCGGGAGAGGUGAGUGGAACUGCGAGUGUAGAGGUGAAAUUCGUAGAUAUUCGCAAGAACACCAGUGGCGAAGGCGGCUCACUGGCCCGAUACUGACGCUGAGGCACGAAAGCGUGGGGAGCAAACAGG